GAUCCUGGCUCAGGACGAACGCUGGCGGCGUGCUUAACACAUGCAAGUCGAACGGAAAGGCCCUGCUUUUGUGGGGUGCUCGAGUGGCGAACGGGUGAGUAACACGUGAGUAACCUGCCCUUGACUUUGGGAUAACUUCAGGAAACUGGGGCUAAUACCGGAUAGGAGCUCCUGCUGCAUGGUGGGGGUUGGAAAGUUUCGGCGGUUGGGGAUGGACUCGCGGCUUAUCAGCUUGUUGGUGGUGUGNGUCUACG
rnacentral:rRNA from 1 species